GGGGGCGAUCGGUUUCGACGAGGCAAUUGAAGUGACUGAGGGCAUACCGAGGGUUCUGGUGACCUCGUAAAUCCGACCGGAAAGAAAAAACAUCCUGAAAACGGAUACGCUCUAGCUGCAUAAUAAUGCGGCUACGCCGCCCCGGAUGGCCAGCCCAGUUUGGGGAUCGGUGUCAUAUAGGGCUGAAACCGAUCAAUUCCUGCCUUUGGGUUUGAUCGGUCAUUUGAAAAGGCUAUCUCUUGCACACCUGUCUCUUGGUAAAGCGAGAGGAGAUUCAUAGAGAGACUAAGUAUGUAGGCCUCUACAUGGAAGUGUCUCGGACGCGGGUUCAAUUCCCGCCGCCUCCAUCA
rnacentral:tmRNA from 1 species